CCUACGGGAGGCAGCAGUGGGGAAUAUUGGACAAUGGGGGGAACCCUGAUCCAGCGACGCCGCGUGAGUGAAGAAGUAUUUCGGUAUGUAAAGCUCUGUCAGCAGGGAAGAAAGAAAUGACGGUACCUGACCAAGAAGCCCCGGCUAACUACGUGCCAGCAGCCGCGGUAAU
rnacentral:rRNA from 1 species